UACGUAGGGGGCAAGCGUUGUCCGGAUUUAUUGGGCGUAAAGAGCGUGUAGGCGGCCAGGUAGGUCCGUUGUGAAAACUCGAGGCUCAACCUCGAGACGCCGAUGGAAACCAUUUGGCUAGAGUCCGGAAGAGGAGAGUGGAAUUCCUGGUGUAGCGGUGAAAUGCGCAGAUAUCAGGAAGAACACCCGUGGCUAAGGCGGCUCUCUAGUACGGUACUGACGCUGAGACGCGAAAGCGUGGGGAGCGAACAGG
rnacentral:rRNA from 1 species